rnacentral:rRNA from 1 species
CCUACGGGAGGCAGCAGUGGGGAAUUUUGGACAAUGGGGGAAACCCUGAUCCAGCCAUGCCGCGUGCAGGAAGAAGGCCUUCGGGUUGUAAACUGCUUUAGUCUAGGAAAAAGGGAUGAUGGAUUAAUACUCCGUUGUUUUGAUGGUACUGGAAGAAUAAGCACCGGCUAACUACGUGCCAGCAGCCGCGGUAAUACGUAGGGUGCGAGCGUUAAUCGGAAUUACUGGGCGUAAAGCGUGCGCAGGCGGUCCGUUAAGACAGUCGUGAAAGCCCCGGGCUCAACCUGGGAACUGCGAUUGUGACUGGCGGGCUAGAGUGUGUCAGAGGGGGGUGGAAUUCCACGUGUAGCAGUGAAAUGCGUAGAGAUGUGGAGGAACACCGAUGGCGAAGGCAGCCCCCUGGGAUAACACUGACGCUCAUGCACGAAAGCGUGGGGAGCAAACAGGAUUAGAUACCCUGGUAGUCCACGCCCUAAACGAUGUCGACUGGUUGUUAGGAACGGGUUAACCUUUUAGUAACGAGCUAACGCGUGAAGUCGACCGCGUGGGGAGGUACGGUCGCGAGAAUUAAACGUUAAAACGGUAAGUUAGACGGCGUGAGACGUGCCGACGGACGACGACGAGGGAGGUAGG